GAAAUGCGAUAAGUAGUGUGAAUUGCAGAAUUCAGUGAAUCAUCGAAUCUUUGAACGCACAUUGCGCCCCUUGGUAUUCCAUGGGGCAUGCCUGUUCGAGCGUCAUUUGUACCCUCAAGCUCUGCUUGGUGUUGGGUGUUUGUCCCGUCUCCGCGCGUGGACUCGCCCCAAAGUGAUUGGCAGCCGGCGUACUGGUCCCGGAGCGCAGCACAUGUCGCGCAAACGAGUGCCUUGGUACGGCGGCGUCCAUAAGCCCCUCUCUCACCCUCUUGACCUCGGAUCAGGUAGGGAUACCCGCUGAACUUAAGC
rnacentral:misc_RNA from 1 species